GACGAACGCUGGCGGCGUGCCUAAUACAUGCGAGUAGAACGCUGAAGGAGGAGCUUGCUUCUCUGGAUGAGUUGCGAACGGGUGAGUAACGCGUAGGUAACCUGCCUGGUAGCGGGGGAUAACUAUUGGAAACGAUAGCUAAUACCGCAUAAUAGUAGAUGUUGCAUGACAUUUGCUUAAAAGGUGCAAUUGCAUCACUACCAGAUGGACCUGCGUUGUAUUAGCUAGUUGGUGAGGUAACGGCUCACCAAGGCAACGAUACAUAGCCGACCUGAGAGGGUGAUCGGCCACACUGGGACUGAGACACGGCCCAGACUCCUACGGGAGGCAGCAGUAGGGAAUCUUCGGCAAUGGACGGAAGUCUGACCGAGCAACGCCGCGUGAGUGAAGAAGGUUUUCGGAUCGUAAAGCUCUGUUGUAAGAGAAGAACGAGUGUGAGAGUGGAAAGUUCACACUGUGACGGUAUCUUACCAGAAAGGGACGGCUAACUACGUG
rnacentral:rRNA from 1 species